rnacentral:rRNA from 1 species
GCCAGACUCCUACGGGAGGCAGCAGUGGGGGAUAUUGCACAAUGGGGGGAACCCUGAUGCAGCGACGCCGCGUGGGUGAAGGAGCGUUUCGGCGCGUAAAGCCCUAUCGGCAGGGAAGAAGGAGGACGGUACCUGACUAAGAAGCCCCGGCUAACUACGUGCCAGCAGCCGCGGUAAUACGUAGGGGGCAAGAGUUAUCCGGAUUUACUGGGUGUAAAGGGGGCGCAGACGGCGAUGCAAGCCAGGAGUGAAAGCCCGGGGCCCAACCCCGGGACUGCUCUUGGAACUGCGUGGCUGGAGUGCAGGAGGGGCAGGCGGAAUUCCUGGUGUAGCGGUGAAAUGCGUAGAUAUCAGGAGGAACACCGGUGGCGAAGGCGGCCUGCUGGACUGCGACUGACGUUGAGGCCCGAAAGCGUGGGGAGCAAACAGGAUUAGAUACCCGAGUACG